rnacentral:rRNA from 1 species
UACGGAGGGGGCUAGCGUUGUUCGGAAUUACUGGGCGUAAAGCGCACGUAGGCGGACCAGAAAGUUGGGGGUGAAAUCCCGGGGCUCAACCCCGGAACUGCCUUCAAAACUGCUGGUCUUGAGGUCGAGAGAGGUGAGUGGAAUUCCGAGUGUAGAGGUGAAAUUCGUAGAUAUUCGGAGGAACACCAGUGGCGAAGGCGGCUCACUGGCUCGAUACUGACGCUGAGGUGCGAAAGCGUGGGGAGCAAAC